CCUACGGGAGGCAGCAGUGGGGAAUAUUGGACAAUGGGCGCAAGCCUGAUCCAGCCAUGCCGCGUGAGUGAUGAAGGCCUUAGGGUUGUAAAGCUCUUUCAGUGGGGAAGAUAAUGACGGUACCCACAGAAGAAGCCCCGGCUAACUUCGUGCCAGCAGCCGCGGUAAUACGAAGGGGGCUAGCGUUGUUCGGAUUUACUGGGCGUAAAGCGCACGUAGGCGGAUCGAUCAGUCAGGGGUGAAAUCCUGGAGCUCAACUCCAGAACUGCCUUUGAUACUGUCGAUCUCGAGUCCGGAAGAGGUGAGUGGAACUCCUAGUGUAGAGGUGGAAUUCGUAGAUAUUAGGAAGAACACCAGUGGCGAAGGCGGCUCACUGGUCCGGUACUGACGCUG
rnacentral:rRNA from 1 species